rnacentral:pre_miRNA from 1 species
ACUGAGGGGGGGGCGUCCCUCAGCCUGGAUUGCAAGAGGGCGCAGGCCAGGCCGAGGGUCCCUGCUGGUGCACG